UCGACUCCCUAAAACUCCACUUCAGCCUCCUCCAAACUCUAAUCCGUCGGCGCCGCGCUGCUGACUGAACAAAUCUCCGCGGCGGCUCCGCCCUACACCUCGGACUCUCCAUCGCCAGAAUUCCAGCUAUAUUCCAGUUUCAUAAGGUAAAUGGAUAAGUUUGUUGUGAAAAGAAAAAGAGUUUCAAUUGGUUCUUCUAGUGCUAGGCCUCCAAGGCGGAUUCGCAUGAGGAACGGUGCAAACAUGAAUAACUACCAUCAUUAUCACGUUGAAAUAUUUUGUCAGCAUCUGCAUCUGUUGAAAGAGUAUUUUCAGCGGUGGAAUUUGUCAAGACCGACUUGCAGAAGAGGACCGGAGAUGAUUGGCUGAAUGACUGUUUGGUGAUAUACAAUGAAAGGUCCAUCUUCGACACUGUUUCUAAUGAAAGAAUCUUGAAACGUUUUCAAGAUUUGGAUACUCAUAGAUGAUAGUUGUUGCAAUCAAAGGGUGCUAGUGCAUCAGCUGUCUUUUGGCUGUCAAAUUUUAAACUAAAAUUUUCUGGUUUUUUCUGCCUUCACCUCAUCACUCUCAGACGGUGCCUUCUCUGAUUUUGGCUAUAUGUAAUCAAAUUCUAGUAUGUAUUUUGUAGAGUUCAUUUUCAGGUUAUAUAUGCAUUUCAGAAAAUGGCAGUUGAUUUUGA